UAGUUAUUGUGAUAUUGGCCUGGUUCACUCAGACAUGCGUACCACACACACUUAUGUCUUGUCCUAGAAACAUUGUAAGUUUGUAUGCGUGGUUUUUGGGUUUGAUUGAGCCGUGCCAAUAUCUCAGUGCUUCUU
rfam:Vigna angularis cultivar Jingnong 6 chromosome 1, whole genome shotgun sequence.